rnacentral:snRNA from 1 species
CAAGAAGAGCCUGAGCCAC